rnacentral:rRNA from 1 species
UGGGGAAUAUUGCACAAUGGGCGAAAGCCUGAUGCAGCGACGCCGCGUGAGGGAUGACGGCCUUCGGGUUGUAAACCUCUUUCAGUAGGGACGAAGCGCAAGUGACGGUACCUGCAGAAGAAGCACCGGCUAACUACGUGCCAGCAGCCGCGGUAAUACGUAGGGUGCGAGCGUUGUCCGGAAUUACUGGGCGUAAAGAGCUCGUAGGCGGUUUGUCACGUCGUAUGUGAAAUCCUAGGGCUUAACCCUGGACGUGCAGGCGAUACGGGCUGACUUGAGUACUACAGGGGAGACUGGAAUUUCUGGUGUAGCGGUGGAAUGCACAGAUAUCAGGAAGAACACCGAUGGCGAAGGCAGGUCUCUGGGUAGUAACUGACGCUGAGGAGCGAAAGCAUGGGUAGCGAACAGG